CUCUUUGUUGGGAAAUGAAUCAAGUGUUAAAGAUGAAAUUCGCUUUAAUCCUCCUGUUUGGAUUUAUUGGAAUUAAUAAUGCUAUUGAGACUGAUCAGCCUGAAGUGAUGGAACCUUCAAAU